rnacentral:misc_RNA from 1 species
GUACUCUCACACUCCCGAUCUUUGGAUUGGGAGCGGUGGACUUGGGUGUUGCUGCUUCACUGUGGCUCACCUCAAAUGGAUUCGUGCAACUCUUGGUUGGACAUAGUACGGCGUGAUAAGUGUCUUCGCCGGCACCUCAGUAUUGAGGGUGGCUGAUCAGGAGCUCUGUGCUUCAAACCGUCUUCGGACAACUCACUGACA